GAGUUUGAUCAUGGCUCAGGAUGAACGCUAGCGGGAGGCUUAACACAUGCAAGUCGAGGGGUAUAAGUAGCAAUAUUUAGAGACCGGCGCACGGGUGAGUAACGCGUAUGCAACCUGCCCUUUACAGGGGGAUAGCCCGUAGAAAUGCGGAUUAAUACCCCAUAGUACUAUUGGAUCGCAUGGUUUGAUAGUUAAAGUUUCGGUGGUAAAGGAUGGGCAUGCGUGACAUUAGCUAGUUGGAGAGGUAACGGCUCACCAAGGCUACGAUGUCUAGGGGUUCUGAGAGGAAGAUCCCCCACACUGGUACUGAGACACGGACCAGACUCCCACGGGAGGCAGCAGUGAGGAAUAUUGGUCAAUGGGCGAGAGCCUGAACCAGCCAUCCCGCGUGCAGGAAGAAUGCCCUAUGGGUUGUAAACUGCUUUUUCGCAUGAAGAACACUCCGGACGUGUCUGGAGCUGACGGUAAUGCGUGAAUAAGCACCGGCUAACUCCGUGCCAGCAGCCGCGGUAAUACGGAGGGUGCAAG
rnacentral:rRNA from 1 species